AUUGGAUGAGCCCGCGGCCUAUCAGCUUGUUGGUGAGGUAACGGCUCACCAAGGCGACGACGGGUAGCUGGUCUGAGAGGACGACCAGCCACACUGGGACUGAGAUACGGCCCAGACUCCUACGGGAGGCAGCAGUGGGGAAUCUUGCGCAAUGGGCGAAAGCCUGACGCAGCGACGCCGCGUGGGGGACGAAGGCCCUCGGGUUGUAAACCCCUUUCGGCAGGGACGAAGCGGUUCCGUGACGGUACCUGCAGAAGAAGCCUCGGCUAACUACGUGCCAGCAGCCGCGGCCGAAU
rnacentral:rRNA from 1 species